AGCUCCAGAAGCGUAUAUUAAAGUUGUUGCAGUUAAAACGCUCGUAGUCGGGUUUCGGGUCGGGCCGAGCGGUCUGCCGAUGGGUAUGCACUGUUUGGCGCGGCCUUCUUUCCGGAGACCGCGGCUACUCUUAACUGAGCGGGCGUGGGAGACGGAUCGUUUACUUUGAAAAAAUCAGAGUGUUUCAAGCAGGCAGCUCGCUCUUGCAUGGUACAGCAUGGGAUGAUUGAAUAGGACUCCGGUGCUAUUUUGUUGGUUUCGAACACCAGGAGUAAUGAUUAACAGGGACAGUCAGGGGCACUCGUAUUCCGUCGAGAGAGGUGAAAUUCUCAGACCAAUGGAAGACGAACCACUGCGAAAGCAUUUGCCAGGGAUGUUUUCACUA
rnacentral:rRNA from 1 species